AAAAGGGAGGGUUUUGGGAAAAUUAAUAUUUGGUGGUUUCAUUGGCUCCCACCUCUACGAAAAGCUUAUGGCGGAGACACCGCACAAGGUGUUGGCUCUCGAUGUAUGUAGCGACAAGAUCAAGCACCUUCUUGAGCCUGCGAGCACUCACCCUUGGUUCGAUCGCAUCCAGUUCCACCACCUCAACAUCAAGAACGACUCUCGCCUCGAAGGCCUCAUCAAGAUGUCAAAUCUGCGAACCCAAAUGGGUCUGAGGUGUAGGUAAAAAUGAGCUCAGAGCUUGAGUACUCAGACACUGUUACUGGGCUCUUCCUUGACCUCCCAAUCGUCUGCUUUAAUGGCAGUGGUUGCUCCCUAGGCAAUAUACUGUACGGUACCUCCCACCUCUGCUUCUUUGCAUCAGUAAUAUGGACCCUUAAUCGAUCUUGUGUCUCAUGCUUGUACAAAAAUCAAGAAACAUCAAACGGCUGAGAGGUGCAUUUUCAAAAAUAAGAGAACCAGAGGAAGAGAAGUAGGGGAUAACAUACUUGAAAAAGAGUUGCGAGUGAGGCAUAUCAGGGCCGUAGCCAUUGUUGUUCUUGAUGACAACAAGGUGGCCCACAAGGCCUCCAUCAGGGGUCUACUCAAUGGAGAUGAGACGAUAACCUUGGCCAAUCUUGGUUUGUGUAGGUUGAUCUGGGUUUUAUUUUUUUGGGUAUGUUCUUCAUGUUCAAGAUUUAUGUGAAUUGAGAGAGAAACCAAUACCACUUUUUGAUA